UACGGGGGGGGCAAGCGUUAAUCGGAAUUACUGGGCGUAAAGCGUGCGCAGGCGGUUAUGUAAGACAGGUGUGAAAUCCCCGGGCUUAACCUGGGAACUGCAUUUGUGACUGCAUAGCUAGAGUACGGUAGAGGGGGAUGGAAUUCCCGGUGUAGCGGUGAAAUGCGUAGAGAUCGGGAAGAACAUCGGUGGCGAAGGCGCUCUACUGGACCACAACUGACACUCAGGGACGAAAGCUAGGGGAGCGAAUGGG
rnacentral:rRNA from 1 species